CCUGUCCCUAGAGACAUUGCAUGCAUGGCUGCUGUGUCACAUGUGCUUGAAUAUGUGGUAGAGAGGAGAGAGGCUAUGUCUAUCCUCAGUGUUCUGCCCUGUGACCUCCUGAAUGAUUAGUAGCCUAGCACU